AAUAUGGCAGGCGUGAUGAAUCAAUUAAAUGUGCGAACGGAAGUUUUCUCAUGUGCUCAACUAUUGAGGCAUAUUAGAAUUCUGACCUGCCAAUU